rnacentral:rRNA from 1 species
AUGAACGCUGGCGGCGUGCCUAAUACAUGCAAGUCGCGCGAACGGACGAGAAGCUUGCUUCUCUGAUGCUAGCGGCGGACGGGUGAGUAACACGUGGAUAACCUACCUAUAAGACUGGGAUAACUUCGGGAAACCGGAGCUAAUACCGGAUGAUAUUUUGAACCGCAUGGUUCAAAAGUGAAAGACGGUCUUGCUGUCACUUAUAGAUGGAUCCGCGCUGCAUUAGCUAGUUGGUAAGGUAACGGCUUACCAAGGCAACGAUGCAUAGCCGACCUGAGAGGGUGAUCGGCCACACUGGAACUGAGACACGGUCCAGACUCCUACGGGAGGCAGCAGUAGGGAAUCUUCCGCAAUGGGCGAAAGCCUGACGGAGCAACGCCGCGUGAGUGAUGAAGGUCUUCGGAUCGUAAAACUCUGUUAUUAGGGAAGAACAUAUGUGUAAGUAACUGUGCACAUCUUGACGGUACCUAAUCAGAAAGCCACGGCUAACUACGUG